rnacentral:rRNA from 1 species
AACGAACGCUGGCGGCGUGCUUAACACAUGCAAGUCGAACGCGAAAGUGGUCUUCGGACCGCGAGUAGAGUGGCGCACGGGUGAGUAACGCGUAGAUAAUCUACCCUGGUGUUUGGAAUAACCAGCCGAAAGGCUGACUAAUACCGGAUACAUGUAUGCCUGCGGGGGCAUACAGGAAAGGUGGCCUCUGACGUAAGCCAUCGCACUGGGAUGAGUCUGCGUACCAUUAGCUUGUUGGUGGGGUAAUGGCCUACCAAGGCGACGAUGGUUAGCGGGUCUGAGAGGAUGAUCCGCCACACUGGCACUGGAACACGGGCCAGACUCCUACGGGAGGCAGCAGUGAGGAAUAUUGCGCAAUGGGGGCAACCCUGACGCAGCGACGCCGCGUGAGUGAGGAAGGCCUUCGGGUCGUAAAGCUCUGUCAGCAGGGAAGAAGUGUGAGGGGGUUAACAGCCUUUUCAUUUGACGGUACCUGCAGAGGAAGCACCGGCUAACUCCGUGCCAGCAGCCGCGGUAAUACGGAGGGUGCGAGCGUUGUUCGGAAUUACUGGGCGUAAAGGGCGCGCAGGCGGCUUUAUAAGUCAGAUGUGAAAGUCCACGGCUUAACUGUGGAAGUGCAUUUGAAACUGUGAGGCUUGAGUACCAGAGGGGAAGGUGGAAUUCCCGGUGUAGAGGUGAAAUUCGUAGAUAUCGGGAGGAAUACCGGUGGCGAAGGCGACUUUCUGGCUGGAUACUGACGCUGAGGCGCGAAAGCGUGGGGAGCAAACA